rnacentral:tRNA from 1 species
UCCCUAGUGGUCCAGUGGUUAAGACUUUGCCUUCCAAAGCAGGGGGUGCAGGUUCGAUCCCUGGUUGGGGAG